GCGGUGCAUUAGCUAGUUGGUAGGGUAACGGGCCUACCCAAGGCGAUGAUGCAUAGCCCGAGUUGAGAGACUGAUCGGGCCACAUUGAGACUGAGACACGGGCCCAAACUCCUACGGGAGCAGCAGUAGGGGAAUCUUCCACAAUGGACGCAAAGUCUGAUGGAGCAAAACGCCGCGUGAGUGAAGAAGGGUUUCGGCUCGUAAAAGCUCUGUUGUUGGUGAAGAAGGACAGGGGUAGUAACUGACCCUUUUGUUUGACGGUAAUCAAUUUAGAAAGUCACGGGCUAACUACGUGCCCAGCAGCCGCGGUAAAU
rnacentral:rRNA from 1 species